GACGAACGCUGGCGGCGUGCUUAACACAUGCAAGUCGAACGGAAAGGCCCUGCUUGCAGGGUACUCGCGUGGGGAACGGGGGAGUAAAACGCGGGUGUAACGCCCCGCACUUCGGGGUAUGCCUGGGGAACUGGGGCUAUAACCGGGGAGAAGCCAUCUUUAGGCAGGUGGGUGGAUAGUUUUUUCGGUGUGGGGUGGGCUCGCGGGCUAUCUGCUUGCUGGUGGGGGAAUGGCUUACCAAGGCGGCGUCGGGGAGCCGGCCUGGGUGGGUGGACGGCCACAUUGGGGCUGAGGUACGGCCCAGACUCCUAAGGGGGGCAGCAGUGGGGAAUAUUGCACAAUGGGCGCAAGCCUGAUGCAGCGACGCCGCGUGGGGGAUGACGGCCUUCGGGUUGGAAACUCCUUUCGCUAGGUACGAAGCUUUUUGUGACGGUACCUAGUAAAGAAGCACCGGCUAACUACGUG
rnacentral:rRNA from 1 species